ensembl:lincRNA
AUGCUAACUAGCCAUUUGAAAAACCGGCACUUUGGGUGCUGCAGCAGGAUCACAAGUCCCAUUUGUAACUAUCCUGGCUUGAAUUUAAACUUAUUUUCUUAUGCCGCAGACAUGACAAUGGAAAAUGUUUUGGAUGCUGCCCCUGAGAUCGCCCAACAGGCCAGCAAUGUCGAUAAGUGCCUUAAAGCUUUGCUUCAGAAAGCAGAAGGCUUUUGCCAGGCCCUGAACCAGCAGUCCAAGCUGGAGUCAUCCAACGUGUACAAAGAGGUGUUCUCCAGGAGGGCGGCGCCGGGGGACAGUUCGUCUGGGGUUCGGCCUGGAGCACUGGAGGACACCCCUCCUGACAGCAGCACGAAGGCCGUGAACAGACACCCAAUGAGGAAGGCUGCUGUGGAGGCUGACCUGGAGGGUGCCUACACUUCCAAAUCAAAGAGACAGAUAAUCUUGGCUGAGAGUAUUGAGUCUGAAGACUUGAAGGGAGGGGAAAGUCAAAGUUCUUAGGGAUUGGAGUCUCUUGGUGUCUUUUAGUUAAGGGUUCUUAAGAGAAUUCAAGUAAAUUAAAAAUAUUAAAUGGGAAGUACUGAGACACAGAGAUUAGCCACACAGGCUGGGGUGUCCUGUGCCUGCUGCUCUCGGGCCCAGCUUGCACUCGAUGCUUCAGAGAUAAACCUUGUUGUCAAGGGUUGUCAUGACCCUCAUCAAGAAUAAGAGGCUUUCUGAUUAUAAAUGCCUGGCUGUUUAUUAAACUAUACUGUACUUACCAGUGAUAUUUUUUGUUGGCUUUUUAACUCUGUCUCAUCCUAGACAACAGAAUUAACAGUUCAAAAAGGUUGCCAAUAUUUAUGUUGUGAGAAUUUGUCUUGAAGGUUAAUUUCCUGCUAAGAUACGCCUGAUGCAAUAAAUGUGAAAAUAAAUUAUUAAUAAUUAACUAGUAUAAUAAAAACAUUGGUAACACUUUUCAGCUGGAGGAUGCCAGUACGUAUAUUCUGUGACUGCAUAUUAGGACUUGCAUCAGAGAUGGAAAAUACGUGUACAGUGUUUGUGUAUUUCCAGAAUACGAUUGCAUGUUUCACUUUUUAAUGUCCUUUACAUACAACAUAAAUUUUCCUUCAUAAAGUUUUUUCUAACACUGCUUUUCAAUUAUUUAGAUGUAUUUCUGUACAAAUGUUUGAACAUUUUGCCUGUAAUUUAAUUAAACAAUUUAUCUUGAAUAUUACUGAGCCCUCCUGUUCCAUGGGUUAGUCUCUUGAUUGAAAAUAUUUCUAUUCCACGAUUUUUGUAUGCAUAGAGCUAAUUAAUAGAAGAUUGCAAGUUUUCUAACAACAAAAAAACUGUAUUAUGGUUCCUAAUACAUUGAACAUAAAAAUCCUAGAGAAUAGUCUAUCACAGCAGAGCAAAUAAUUUGAAUUCUGCAGUCAGAAUGAUACUAAUCCAGCAAUGUUAGUGAAGGAGUCCAGUAUAAUCUUUGGACCCUUGCACUAUCUCCCUUUCGUACCAUGUUAUAUACGUCAGGGUGCAGUAUGCUUGAUCUGGCUGGAGCACAGUACAGCUUUGUCGUAACCUCCUAGGACAUAUGUUCUACACUUAAAAAGCUUAUGUAUUAUUCACCUCGUUCACUGUAGCACCUACACCUUUUUUCUCCCUGGGUGUGAUCCAAUACCACUAACUCAACAGUUUUGUUUCCUGCUCUCACCAUUGGCUGUCAUUAAAUUUCCUCUGCUUGUUUCUACUCCCUCACUCUGGAGUUGUUUUAAUAAGCUGGCUUGGGGCUGUGUGCUGUUACUAUUUUUUCCUGUGUAUACUGCACAUUGUAACAGUGUAAACUGUCUUUACUCUUUAGUAAAUUGAGCACGUUAAUCCAUUAUGUCUACAUCAAAAUCAUCAUGCUGUGUAUGUAAUAUCAGUAAUAAGUGCUUGUGCUUGGCUUUUUUGUUGUCACUGUUUCUUGAAACUUGUAGAGUUUUGUAUAUACUGUAUUGUAAUUACUGUACAAAUUUUGUACUGCCACUGAAUAAAAAAAGUCUUGCUUUUGAGUGUCAAAGUUAUAUUUUUAUAUUAAAUUUGUAAUUUAAAUCUAAUUAAAGAGAAUACCUUUAUUACCAGAAUUUAAAGCAAAUGUUUGGCACUUUUAAAUUCAAUCAUUUUAGUUUAACAGUUUUCUGGCUGUUUAGAACUUAUUUGACAGAAGUAUAUUUUAAGGGGGAUUAUUAAAGAUUUCAUAUUGUUUUGCCAGAAGUGGGCAGUAAUAUCG